rnacentral:rRNA from 1 species
GACGAACGCUGGCGGCGUGCUUAACACAUGCAAGUCGAACGGAAAGGCCCUGCUUUUGUGGGGUGCUCGAGUGGCGAACGGGUGAGUAACACGUGAGUAACCUGCCCUUGACUUUGGGAUAACUUCAGGAAACUGGGGCUAAUACCGGAUAGGAGCUCCUGCUGCAUGGUGGGGGUUGGAAAGUUUCGGCGGUUGGGGAUGGACUCGCGGCUUAUCAGCUUGUUGGUGGGGUAGUGGCUUACCAAGGCUUUGACGGGUAGCCGGCCUGAGAGGGUGACCGGGGCCAAGGGGACGAAGAGAGGGACCAGCAGCGAACGGGAGGCAACGGGGGGGAGUAGGACAGAAUGGCAUGGGGCCUGUGCUAACAACGCCGCGCGCGGGAAGACGGCUUUCGGGUUGAAAACCAAUGUCCCCUGAGACGAGGAGGGAGUGACGGUAAUGGAUAAAGAAGCCCCGGCUAACUACGUG